rnacentral:rRNA from 1 species
GCCGAACGCUGGCGGCGUGCCUAAUACAUGCAAGUAGAACGCUGAAGAGAGGAGCUUGCUCUUCUUGGAUGAGUUGCGAACGGGUGAGUAACGCGUAGGUAACCUGCCUUGUAGCGGGGGAUAACUAUUGGAAACGAUAGCUAAUACCGCAUAACAAUGGAUGACACAUGUCAUUUAUUUGAAAGGGGCAAUUGCUCCACUACAAGAUGGACCUGCGUUGUAUUAGCUAGUAGGUGAGGUAAUGGCUCACCUAGGCGACGAUACAUAGCCGACCUGAGAGGGUGAUCGGCCACACUGGGACUGAGACACGGCCCAGACUCCUACGGGAGGCAGCAGUAGGGAAUCUUCGGCAAUGGGGGCAACCCUGACCGAGCAACGCCGCGUGAGUGAAGAAGGGUUUCGGAUCGUAAAGCUCUGUUGUAAGUCAAGAACGGGUGUGAGAGUGGAAAGUUCACACUGUGACGGUAGCUUACCAGAAAGGGACGGCUAACUACGUG